GGUAGUGUGGCCCAGUGGAUAGGGCAUUAGACUGGGACUGAGGAGACCUGGGUUCUGUCCCUAGCUCUGCCA
rnacentral:tRNA from 1 species